GCACAAGCGGCGGAGCAUGCGGAUUAAUUCGAUGCAACGCGAAGAACCUUACCAAGGCUUGACAUACACCGGUAACGCCCAGAGAUGGGUGCCCCUUUGUGGUCGGUGUACAGGUGGUGCAUGGUUGUCGUCAGCUCGUGUCGUGAGAUGUUGGGUUAAGUCCCGCAACGAGCGCAACCCUCGUCCUAUGUUGCCAGCGGGUCAUGCCGGGGACUCAUGGGAGACUGCCGGGGUCAACUCGGAGGAAGGUGGGGAUGACGUCAAAUCAUCAUGCCCCUUAUGUCUUGGGCUUCACGCAUGCCACAAUGGCCGGUACAAAGGGCUGCGAUACCGCGAGGUGGAGCGAAUCCCAGAAAGCCGGUCUCAGUUCGGAUUGGGGUCUGCAACUCGACCCCAUGAAGUCGGAGUCGCUAGUAAUCGCAGAUCAGCAACGCUGCGGUGAAUACGUUCCCGGGCCUU
rnacentral:rRNA from 1 species